AUUAAGAUGGCAGAGCCCGGUAAUUGCAAAAGGCCUAAGCCCUUUCCCCCGGAGGUUCAAAUCCUCCUCUUAAUUA
rnacentral:tRNA from 1 species